AUUGAACGCUGGCGGCAGGCCUAACACAUGCAAGUCGAGCGAGCGGCGGACGGGUGAGUAAUGUCUGGUAAACUGCCUGAUGGCGGGGGAUAACAACUGGAUACCGUAGCUAAUACCGCAUACAAUCAGCUGUUCCCAGACGGGAUUAGCUAGGAGGUGGGGUAAUGGCUCACCUAGGCAACGAUCCCUAGCUGAUCUGAGAAGAUGAUCAGCCAGACUGGAACUGAGACACGGUCCAGACUCCUACGGGAGGCAGCAGUGGGGAAUGUUGGACAAUGGGCGGAAGCCUGAUGCAGCCAUGCCGCGUGUGUGAAGAAGGCCUUCGGGUUGUAAAGCACUUUCAGCGGGGAAGCGUUACCCCCAGAGGAAGCACCGGCUAACUCCGUGCCAGCAGCCGCGGUAAUAC
rnacentral:rRNA from 1 species